UCUAAAGGGCACCUAUACAAGCAUUUCGACGGUCAUAGCUAACAGCAAUACUGGCAGGAGUUUACCUUGGAGCUGGCCAGACUGCUUAAAACUGGCCUUAAGCAGCUUUUUUUUUGAAAAAAAUAAACAAACGACUGAAUAAUAUGGCGCGGAUUGGGAAGAAAUCAAACACCUUUGGAUAGGACGAGAAUUUCGACCCUUUAUUUUAGGCCAACCCUAACCGCCCUGAUAUGGAAGAAACCCAUAUGCCUGUGCCUAUCGAAGGUGGUUCAGUUUUGCUGUAGGUCGUGCCAUUAUCUGGGCCUGUGGGCAUUGCAUGAAAUUGACAAGAUUACGCUGGUCUUAGCGAAGCACAGGUCCUACAUGUUGAUAUUGCAUGCAGUACGCAGCUGCUGGAAUUACCAAUAACAGAAUUCGAAAGCCCUUUCACAGAAUUCCGCACGUCAAUUGCAGUCGGCCGCUUGCCUACAGGCCUACCGAGGACGCUCACCCACUCGGAAUUCAUUCGGCAACGGUAGGAGCCAAGCCUGAACGUCGAACAUAGCGUUUCUUGGACAGGGCGUGGAAGGA